UCUUUCAUCCUAAAGAGAUUCCGCAUGUUCAGAAUAUUUCUCAUUGGGCACCUGCUAGCAUUGGACCAUAUAGUCAGUCUAUCAAGGUUGGAGAAGUCAUGUACCCUGCUGGGCAAAUUGCACUAGUACCUAGCACAGUGAAACUUGUGAGUGGCAGAAUACAAACAGAAGCUCCCAUGUCCUUGAGCCACACCCUGAAAAUUCUGGAAGCUCUGCAUAGAGGCACUGGACUUCACCACAUUCUCAUGGCUCACUGUUAACAUAACAGGCAGCAAGUUCAUUGCGACUGCUCUGGAUACCUGGCAGAAGAACUUAAGGACACAUAAAGAGGUGAGGAAAUUGAGAAGGUGAAUAACUGUCCUAAGAUCACACAGCCAGUAAGUGGUGGAGCCAGGAUUCAAGCCCUAGUUGUCUGGAGGAACACGAGUGUCAUGGCAAUGCCAAGGACACAGGUGGCAUCCUGGUGGUAGUGGUACUUCCCCAUCUCCCCAGAGAUGCUGCUAUUGAGUGGCACGUCAUUGCAGUGGCAGAUAAGCCAUCUAGAAGGAAGCAUUUUGCUUUGUAGAAAAUA